UAUUUUCACGAGCAAACCUGCCGGAAAGCAGGGACGCAAAGCUAUAGGGGCCGAACCCCUUGGGGCGGCUAGCCAGUUGCGAUC
rnacentral:ncRNA from 1 species